rnacentral:rRNA from 1 species
UACGUAGGGUGCGAGCGUUGUCCGGAAUUAUUGGGCGUAAAGAGCGUGUAGGCGGCUAGAUAGGUCCGUUGUGAAAACUCGAGGCUCAACCUCGAGACGUCGAUGGAAACCAUCUGGCUAGAGUCCGGAAGAGGAGAGUGGAAUUCCUGGUGUAGCGGUGAAAUGCGCAGAUAUCAGGAAGAACACCCGUGGCGAAGGCGGCUCUCUGGUACGUGACUGACGCUGAGACGCGAAAGCGUGGGGAGCAAACAGG